GCCAGAUAAGCCUUGAGUUGAACCAGCAGAUGGCCAGCUAUACCAGCCCCUCCCAUGAGAAGUGCCGGUCUCUUUCUUUCAGAGUUUCCUGUAUAAGGCGCUAGGAACGUCCUUAGCAGUUUGUCAGGACCUGGUCCACGUUAAAUCGCAGCUUCAUAAAUUUUUGACAGCAACAGAUUAUAUGGAAGCCCCUGAGAGACAGGGAGUCAUUUCCAUCUUCACAUUCUCUGCUGAGAGCCACUUGGACCUCACCCUGAACGCACUUCAGGAGUUUGGGGCUGCAAUGAGCAAGGUUACGAUUCCUGGGUUCAUCAGCCGCCUGAAGGACCACCACCAUGGGAGAAGAGGCAAGACUCGC